CUCCAAUCUCGUGUUCUCACCUUCAUGUGGCAACAUAUAUUUUUCAUUAGGCCUACAAAGUCAGAUCUUUGACAAUCAGGAGGCAGGAGGUUCUCCAGGAGCCACCAAUUCCAGAGUUCCAAAGCAGAUGGCCAGCACUGUUUGAUGUCAGUGAGAUUAACUUGGAGUUUAUGCGACUGACAACUAUACCUCUGACCUCCAAAUUCCUUGGAGAACUGGACCGUCAGACCUACAACCUGAUGAAGGUUUUUAAUUCCAAAGGUGGAGCAGCAGGAAGAAAGAUGGCAGCCAUAAUGGCCCAGAUGGAUAAUAAUGAAGACAUCAACGUGAGGCGAGAUUGUGUGCUGAGCUGUCUCAGCAUCUACCUCAAUGAAGACCUGGACGAACUGGUUAAAGAAACGUGGUAUGCAUGCCAGCCUACUGUGCUUUUGGCCAGAUGUAAUUCAUUUCUAUCUAGACAUACCUGAUAACAUGUGGCGUUCAUGAGAAUGGGAUGGAAAUGGGGAUACAUUGACCUUGACCACCGACAGUAUCAUUGAGUCAGUUGGGUUGUUUAAAAUGAAAAAUUCCCCCAAUGCAAGUGGUGGUAGAACUUUCCCUUUGUAGGAAGUAAAUCCACUUGGUCGAGAGGAUAAAGUUGGAUGGGCCCUGGCACCUAUACGCCCCCACGAUGCCAGGGAUGACAUCUCUCACCUAAACAACAAGGUGAAGACACAGACGCUUGACUGUUCUUAUGACCCAGCAGUUUUAAUUGUAUUUUGUUUCUUAGAUUUUAAUUUUCCCAGUUUUAAAGAUAUUUGUAUUCCAAUAGUGUAAAAGUAUGCUGCAAGUACAUUGCUGGCAUUUUGUAGUUAUCCAAAAAUUUGCAGUUGAAGUUCUCAAAACAAGUGUAAAGUUUGUUACCUGAUGCAGUUUGAAGAUGUACAUUUCAGCUUUACUGUUCAGUUCUGUGUGCAAAAUAUGUGGGUGUAAACUUGUUACUGUAAUUUCUUCAAUUCAUUUGAAUUAUAUAAAAAAUAUUUCAUUCUCUGUAUUUGUAUUUGGAUAAUUAGAAAAGUCAAGAUUCUACGUGUACUGACAUUUAUGUAGUGAGAACAGGACCAAAAACACAGGUGUCUGAAUUGUCUGCUAAAGGCAAUGUGAAAUAUGUGUGCUCAACUUAAAGCACUGGUUUUGCACAGUUUGAACAGAACUUGUAAGAAUUCUGUGACUCCUUACUGUUACUGUCAUGGAGAUAACUAGUAACUAUUUCUGAUUUGUUUAGUA